GGAGAAAAGUUUAAGUGAUGGUGGAAGAUGCUUUGGACAGCGAUUUAGCAAAUGGGUCUCUGAAUCAUGGCCUCCUCCCAUUAAAUGUUUGCUGGAGGAGCAUUUAAAGCAAGGUGGGAAGCACUUCAGAAAAUGGUCUGGCAUAGUGCUCUCUGAAACAUCUCCCAUCCUCCUCUAAAAGGGUUUGGGCUGGGCAAGCUGUGAGGGGAUAGUGGGUGGGUAAGGUGUAAAGAGUAGGGGGGUUGGCGGGAUGAAAAGAGAGUGGGUUGGCCAGGUGUGGGAGAAGGGUGCUUGCAGAGUGCAGAUUUAGCAGGAAGGCACAUUGGGGAGAGACGAGAGCAGGGGUGGCAUAUAUUUUUACAUUCCUAGCCCCUGCCAAGGAGUCAAAGGUGACAUACUUGGUUCUUCCUCCCUCUCCAUUUGAUCCCCACAAAAACACAGUGAAGUAACUUAUUCUGAGAGGCCGGCUGCCCCAACGUCACCCAGUGAGCUUCAUAGCUCCAGUACGGGGAGGAGUUUGAUUCCUAGUCUCCCAAGUCCUAAAUCAACAUGCUAGUCACUACACCAUAUAUGUAGGGCAGGGAUGGCCAACAGGUAGAUCGCGAUAUACCGGUAUCUCGCAGGGUGCCUGUGGUAGAUCACGGUAGAUCUUGGGACCCCUCCCACCCACCCCCUCAAAAAACAACUUUGAUCUCCAAAAAAAAGUUCAACAACUUUGAUCAAUCCAGGGGGUAAUCACCUCCAGUUUUUUUUAAUAGUGGGAGUAGAUUGCAGUCUCUUGGAAGUUGGACAAGCCUGAAACUGUAUUGGGUAUAACCCUCAUAAGGUACAUAGUUGUUGACAUUCAAGUCCUGUUCAUUUCAACCCAACUAAACUGUGCGACAAAGUAAAUGUGAUGUUAAUGAUUUGGCAGUGCUACCACAGUCUGCGAAAAAGAAGCUAGUCAAAAGAAAAAGAAAGAAAGAAAGAAAGAAAGAAAGAAAGAAAGAAGCUUGCUGAGAAAGAAGAUGCAUUACAAUGUGAGCGGCACAGGCUAAUCCUAGUAACAGUAGCUCAUGCCAAGAAAGGGGAGAAGU